rnacentral:rRNA from 14 species
CCAGCCAUGCCGCGUGCAGGAAGACGGCCCUAUGGGUUGUAAACUGCUUUUAUACAGGAAGAAACACUCCCUCGUGAGGGAGCUUGACGGUACUGUAAGAAUAAGGAUCGGCUAACUCCGUGCCAGCAGCCGCGGUAAUACGGAGGAUCCAAGCGUUAUCCGGAAUCAUUGGGUUUAAAGGGUCCGCAGGCGGAUUUAUAAGUCAGUGGUGAAA